rnacentral:rRNA from 1 species
UAGUAGCGUAGCUAACGCGUGAAAUCGACCGCCUGGGGAGUACGGUCGCAAGAUUAAAACUCAAAGGAAUUGACGGGGACCCGCACAAGCGGUGGAUGAUGUGGAUUAAUUCGAUGCAACGCGAAGAACCUUACCUGGUCCUGACAUGUACGGAACCUUCCAGAGACGGAAGGGUGCCUUCGGGAGCCGUAACACAGGUGCUGCAUGGCUGUCGUCAGCUCGUGUCGUGAGAUGUUGGGUUAAGUCCCGCAACGAGCGCAACCCUUGUCAUUAGUUGCCAUCAUUCAGUUGGGCACUCUAAUGAGACUGCCGGUGACAAACCGGAGGAAGGUGGGGACGACGUCAAGUCCUCAUGGCCCUUAUGACCAGGGCUUCACACGUCAUACAAUGGUCGGUACAGAGGGUAGCCAAGCCGCGAGGCGGAGCCAAUCCCAGAAAACCGAUCGUAGUCCGGAUUGCACUCUGCAACUCGAGUGCAUGAAGUCGG